ensembl:lncRNA
CUCAGCUUUUGCUACUUGAACUGUCUGCCCUGAAUUCUGUUAUUUUCCCUGCUUCAUAGCUUCAGGACAUGGAAAAUUUGGUCAACGGUAGCAAGAAGGAAAUAACAGAAAUAAACAUCAGAAAAUGACAAGUUUCAAGGACCUGAAGGGAUGUGGAUACAGUGCAAGUUUUCCUUUAAGUUACUAUGGGAACCUGGAACAUUGCCAUGUGGACCCCUCCCUGAAUGUCUCGGAAAGUCGGCACCUUUGUGGAAAUUUGACAGAAGUGACCCUGUGCCAGUCCCCAGACCAGGCUUCCAGAGGCUUUGCAUGCUUCCUCUCUCUGGAGCCCUCUCCAUAGCCCGAGAACAAGCCCAGGUGAGGUUCCCAGAGGAUGAAAGACCCUGGUGAAGACAGAGAAGCCAGCUGUCCCAGCCACGGCCAACCUAGACCAUUCAGCCAUUGCUCCAACACUCGAGGAGAUCCAGACGGGAGCAGCAGAGUGGAAACUGAUUCAGGCUUUCUGGGAGAAUUUUGUAAUACAUGAGCCAUGUUUAUAAUAGGCAGUUUGACCCAGUCAUUACAAUUCCAGUAUCUGAC